GGUCUUACCGAUUUUACUACUUGCACGACUUGGUACACUUGCCAAAGUCUCAACAAGGUUCUAAAUCGUCAUUCAUGUACUUGUUUUUUUUGUAAUAAUAUAUAUGUUUAAUGUUAUUUGGGCUGAAUGUCAUUGGGUGAAAUCACCAUAUUGUUAUCUUUUUUGCCAAAUAUUGUAAAUGAUUACAACACCCUUUUUCAAUGCACUUGAUUCAGGAUUUCAUCCAACUACUUUUAGUGAACACAAGACCUUCCUCAAUGGAAUUAGGAGUCUCCAAAAUCAAGUCUCAACCCCCAACACACAACUUAAAACCAAAAUCAUCAAAAACCAAUCCAAAGUUUGCCAAAAAGUUAAAAUUUUAUAAGGUGGUCCCCUGUGUACAAAAAAGUGGUCCCUUGUGAAGGACUUUCUCUACAAAUUCAACAAAACAUUCGCGUAAACGUUUACCACCUAUUGGUAAACGAUUACAACACCCUUUUUCAAUGCACUUGACUUAUGAUUUCAUCCAACUACUUUUUUGUGAACACAAGACAUUCCUCAAUGGAAUUUGGGGUCCCCAAAAUCAACUCUCCACCCAAAAACACAACUUAAAACCAAAAAAAUCAAAAACCCAUGCAAAGUUUGCCAAAAAGUUGAAAUUU
rnacentral:lncRNA from 1 species